GAAAGGAUGAAAUAUGGAUGGCUGCUAACCCUAAGGAUUUCCCACUAGAGGCAUCAUUUGGUGCCAGGAAGGAGCUCGGGUGGCCGCGUGGCUGAAGGACAGGGGGACCUCAUGGUGCGGGCAGGCAGGAGUGCUUGAUAAACUUGACUACAACCCUGAUUUAGAACUGAAAGGAGACCCAAGAGAAAAAUUGCUGGAAAUAGAGUUGGGUGUGAGAAGAUGGUCACAUCCCAGGUUAUGUCCCUGGGACGGCUGCCAAGUGUGGGUUCUUGGCUUCAC
ensembl:lncRNA